rnacentral:rRNA from 1 species
ACGCGGUUGCCCCGCAAGGGGUAACUGAGUGGCGAACGGGUGAGUAACACGUGGGUGACCUACCCUCGAGUGGGGGAUAACAUCCCGAAAGGGGUGCUAAUACCGCAUGACAUCCUGUCUUUGAACAGAUGGACAUUAAAGCCGGGGAUCGCAAGACCUGGCGCUCGUGGAGGGGCCCGCGCCCGAUUAGCUAGUUGGUGAGGUAACGGCUCACCAAGGCUUCGAUCGGUAUCCGGCCUGAGAGGGCGGACGGACACACUGGGACUGAGACACGGCCCAGACUCCUACGGGAGGCAGCAGUGGGGAAUUGUUCGCAAUGGGCGAAAGCCUGACGACGCAACGCCGCGUGGAGGACGAAGAUCUUCGGGUCGUAAACUCCUUUCGAUCGGGACGAAUGAUCGGUGAUCUAAUACAUCACCGGAAUGACGGUACCGAGAGAAGAAGCCCCGGCUAACUCCGUGCCAGCAGCCGCGGUAAUACGGGGGGGGCAAGCGUUGUUCGGAAUUACUGGGCGUAAAGGGCGCGUAGGCGGCCAUCUAAGUCAGACGUGAAAUCCCUCGGCUCAACCGAGGAACUGCGUCUGAUACUGGAAGGCUUGAAUCCGGGAGAGGGAUGUGGAAUUCCAGGUGUAGCGGUGAAAUGCGUAGAUAUCUGGAGGAACACCGGUGGCGAAGGCGGCAUCCUGGACCGGUAUUGACGCUG